rnacentral:rRNA from 1 species
UGUCAGUACAGACUGAAAUAAAGUGAAACCGCAAAAGGCUCAGUAAACCAGUAAAGAGUCACUGGAGUAAACCUUGACUGUGUCUUGGAUAACUGUGGAAAUUCUAGAGCUAAUACAUGCAACCAAAGUCUCCGUCCGGUAACGGCGGGGACGCUUUUAUUAGGAUCAAGACCAUUCGCUUCGGCGUUCACUUGACGACUCAGAAUAACACCUCAGAUCGCGUCGGUCUCCGUACCGGCGACUUAUCUUUCAAAUGCCUGACUUAUCAACUGACGAUGGUAGACUCCGCGUCUACCAUGGUCCUUACGGGUAACGGGGAAUCAGGGUUCGAUUCCGGAGAGGGAGCCUGAGAAACGGCUACCACAUCCAAGGAAGGCAGCAGGCACGCAAAUUACCCACUCCCGGCACGGGGAGGUAGUGACAAAAAAUAACGAUACGGGACUCUUUUAGAGGCCCCGUAAUCGGAAUGAACACACUUUAAAACCUUGUUUAAAGGUCAAUCGGAGGGAAAGUCUGGUGCCAGCAGCCGCGGUAACUCCAGCUCCGAUAGCGUAUAUUAAAAUUGUUGCGGUUAAAAAGCUCGUAGUUGGUUCUGCGUACCACGCUGUCGGUACACCGCCUGUCGGUGACACUGGCAUGCCGUGGUAUGUCCUGUCGGUGGCGGCCGCCUAAGCCCCGCGGACUCAGCGGUCCCCGGAUAGUGCCGAGCCGCCCGCGAGGCCAUAGCGCGGUCGCCGACUUCUAUCCUACCGCGGUGCUCUUCACUGAGUGUCGAGGUAGGCCGACACGUUUACUUUGAACAAAUUAGAGUGCUUAAAGCAGGCUCAAAUUUCCGCCUGAAUAGUGGUGCAUGGAAUAAUGGAACAGGCCCUUGGUCCUAUUCUGUUGGUCUCCGGGACACAAGGUAAUGAUCAAUAUGGACAGUGCGGGGGCAUUCGUAUUGCGGCGUUAGAGGUGAAAUUCUUGGCUCUUCGCAAGACGCACUAGAGCGAAAGCAUUUGCCAAGUAUGUCUUAAUUGAUCAAGAACGAAGUAAAAUGAUCAAGAACGAAAGUUAGAGGUUCGAAGGCGAUCAGAUACCGCCCUAGUUCUAACCAUAAACGAUGCCAGCCAGCGAUCCGCCGAUGUUCCUCCGAUGACUCGGCGGGGAGCUUCCCCCGGGAAACCAAAGCGUUUGGGUUCCGGGGGAAGUAUGGUUGCAAAGCUGAAACUUAAAGGAAUUGACGGAAGGGCACCACCAGGAGUGGAGCCUGCGGCUUAAUUUGACUCAACACGGGAAACCUCACCAGGUCAGGACAUUGGAAUGAUUGACAGAUUGAUAGCUCUUUCUUGAUUCAGUGGGUAGUGGUGCAUGGCCGUUCUUAGUUGGUGGACCGAUUUGUCUGGUUAAUUCCGAUAACGAACGAGACUCUAGCCUAUUAACUAGACGCUUCCGGUAUCUUCCGCUACCGGCGAUAAGUUCUCUUCUUAGGGGGACAGGCGGCUUUUAGCCGCACGAGAUUGAGCAAUAACAGGUCUGUAAUGCCCUUAGAUGUCCUGGGCCGCACGCGCGCUACACUGAAGGAAUCAGCGUGUGUCUUCCCUUGGCCGAAAGGUCCGGGUAACCCGCUGAACCUCCUUCGUGCUAGGAAUUGGGGCUUGCAAUUGUUCCCCAUGAACGAGGAAUUCCCAGUAAGCGCGAGUCAUAAGCUGGCGUUGAUUACGUCCCUGCCCUUUGUACACACCGCCCGUCGCUGCUACCGAUUGAAUGGUUUAGUGAGGUCUUCGGACCGGCGGUAAGCGGGUCCUUCUUCGUGUCGGUCUUGCCGAACGCUGGGAAGAUGACCAAACUUGAGCAUUAGAGGAAG